GACGAACGCUGGCGGCGCGCUUAACACAUGCAAGUCGAACGGAAAGGCCCUGCUUUUGUGGGGUGCUCGAGUGGCGAACGGGUGAGUAGCACGUGAGUAACCUGCCCUUGACUUUGGGAUAACUUCAGGAAACUGGGGCUAAUACCGGAUAGGAGCUCCUGCUGCAUGGUGGGGGUUGGAAAGUUUCGGCGGUUGGGGAUGGACUCGCGGCUUAUCAGCUUGUUGGUGGGGUAGUGGCUUACCAAGGCUUUGACGGGUAGCCGGCCUGAGAGGGUGACCGGCCACAUUGGGACUGAGAUACGGCCCAGACUCCUACGGGAGGCAGCAGUGGGGAAUAUUGCACAAUGGGCGGAAGCCUGAUGCAGCAACGCCGCGUGCGGGAUGACGGCCUUCGGGUUGUAAACCGCUUUCGCCUGUGACGAAGCGUGAGUGACGGUAAUGGGUAAAGAAGCACCGGCUAACUACGUG
rnacentral:rRNA from 1 species